CCCUGGACAAACUAGGAAACAUUGUUGCGGAAACAUUGUUUCCUGCCAAUUUUUCGCCAUGUUUCCCAGAGUGGGCAAACACUAGGAAACAUUAGUGAGAAACAUAUAAGGAAACAUCAAAUGUUUCUGAAUUUGCUAGAAACCAUUUUUGCUUCUCGGGAAGCAAAUUUUGUUUCCGCAACAAUGUUUCCACGGGUGGGCAAACAGGGAAACAUCGAGAAUCACAAAUGUUUCCACAACAAUGUUUCCUAGUUUGCCCAGGGCUU